CCUACGUGAGGCAGCAGUGGGGAAUAUUGCACAAUGGGGGAAACCCUGAUGCAGCGACGCAGCGUGAGGGAAGAAGUACCUCGGUAUGUAAAGCUCUAUCUGCAGGGGAGUAAAUGACGGUACCUGAUUAAGAUGCUCCGUCUAACUACGUGCCAGCAGCCGCGGUAAUACGUAGGGGGCAAGCGUUAUCCGGAUUUACUGGGUGUAAAGGGAGCGUAGACGGCAGCACAAGUCUGGAGUGAAAUGCCGGGGCUUAACCCCGGAACUGCUGUGGAAACCGUGGAGCUUGAGUGCAGGAGAGGUAAGUGGAAUUCCUGGUGUAGCGGUGAAAUGCGUAGAUAUUAGGAAGAACACCGGUGGCGAAGGCAGCUUACUGGAGUGUAACUGACGUUGAGGCUCGAAAGCGUGGGGAGCAAACAGGAUUAGAUACCCCGGUAGUC
rnacentral:rRNA from 1 species